rnacentral:rRNA from 1 species
GCAAGGUUAACCGUAUAGGGGAGCCGUAGGGAAACCGAGUCUUAACCGGGCGUUAAGUUGCAGGGUAUAGACCCGAAACCCGGUGAUCUAGCCAUGGGCAGGUUGAAGGUUGGGUAACACUAACUGGAGGACCGAACCGACUAAUGUUGAAAAAUUAGCGGAUGACCUGUGGCUGGGGGUGAAAGGCCAAUCAAACCGGGAGAUAGCUGGUUCUCCCCGAAAGCUAUUUAGGUAGCGCCUCGUGAAUUCAUCUCCGGGGGUAGAGCACUGUUUCGGCUAGGGGGCCAUCCCGGCUUACCAACCCGAUGCAAACUGCGAAUACCGGAGAAUGUUAUCACGGGAGACACACGGCGGGUGCUAACGUCCGUCGUGAAGAGGGAAACAACCCAGACCGCCAGCUAAGGUCCCAAAGUCAUGGUUAAGUGGGAAACGAUGUGGGAAGGCCCAGACAGCCAGGAUGUUGGCUUAGAAGCAGCCAUCAUUUAAAGAAAGCGUAAUAGCUCACUGGUCGAGUCGGCCUGCGCGGAAGAUGUAACGGGGCUAAACCAUGCACCGAAGCUGCGGCAGCGAACGUAUCACCCAAGACAACUUUGCGGAGUUGACGAUUGACGGAGCGAAGCGACGUCAAAGCGUUCAUUAAAGUCGAGUUGGCUUA